rnacentral:lncRNA from 1 species
GUGACAGCUGAGGCUACAGCAAAGCAGCAGCGAGACAUACGCAACCAGGGACGAGACGAGACAAAAGACAGCCAGGGCCUAAUUCAAGCAACUCGCACGAAGCAAGACACCGCAGCGGAAGAGUCCAGUUGCUAUCGCUGCAACGGUAAGCACGCUCCGCAUUUAUGCAGUUUUAGAAAGGCGGCAUGUUUCAAACGCAAAAAGGUUGAA